AACAAACGCUGGCGGCGUGCCUAAUACAUGCAAGUCGAACGGGGUAGCAAUACCUAGUGGCGCACGGGUGAGGAACGCGUGGAUAAUCUGCCUUAGAGUGGGGGAUAACUAGUCGAAUGAUUAGCUAAUACCGCAUAAGACCACAGGAGCUGCGGCUCUAGGGGUCAAAGGUUUUUCGCUCUAAGAUGAGUCCGCGUAAGAUUAGCUAGUUGGUGAGGUAACGGCUCACCAAGGCGACGAUCUUUAACUGGUCUGAGAGGAUGAUCAGUCACACUGGAACUGAGACACGGUCCAGACUCCUACGGGAGGCAGCAGUAGGGAAUAUUGCACAAUGGAGGAAACUCUGAUGCAGCGACGCCGCGUGAGUGAUGAAGGCCUUCGGGUCGUAAAGCUCUGUCGCAGGGGAAUAACACAAUGAAUGUACCCUGUAAGAAAGGAUCGGCUAACUUCGUGCCAGCAGCCGCCGUAAAAC
rnacentral:rRNA from 1 species